rnacentral:rRNA from 1 species
ACGGAAGGCAGCAGUGAGGAAUAUUGGUCAAUGGUCGGAAGACUGAACCAGCCAAGUAGCGUGAAGGAUGACUGCCCUAUGGGUUGUAGACUUCUUUUAUGCGGGAAUAAAAAAGUCCACGUGUGGGCUCUUGCAUGUACCGCAUGAAUAAGGAUCGGCUAAUUCCGUGCCAGCAGCCGCGGUAAUACGGAAGAUCCGAGCGUUAUCCGGAUUUAUUGGGUUUAAAGGGAGCGUAGGCGGGCCUUUAAGUCAGUGGUCAAAGCGUGUGGCUCAACCAUACCACGCCGUUGAUACUGGAGGCCUUGAGUGCACAUAAGGAUGGUGGAAUUCAUGGUGUAGCGGUGAAAUGCUUAGAUAUCAUGAAGAACUCCGAUUGCGAAGGCAGCUGUCCGGGGUGUAACUGACGCUAAUGCUCGAGAGUGCGGGUAUCAAACAGGAUUAGAUACCCUGGUA